CAACGAAUUACACCAAACUCUCAAGUUUGUGUUGGCAGACCACCAGCCUGGGAAAGGAUAAUCAUUAGAUCAAGGAAGAGAAUCCAUGGUAAAAUACAAAAAUACGUCUCCCACGCAGUGGAUCAUCUCUGUGAAUUUAAUAUGUUGAUGUUCCGGUCUGAGGCCAUUUGUGAAGAAAGAAUAAUUGGUGGAUGUAACGAACCACUUGGAAACACCAAGCUUGCUUUCUUGUCCAAAGACGUGACUAAGAAGGUUUUGUCUCCUGAACAAUCAAGAAAGGCGAUUAUGCAGUUGUGGUGCAUUCCUUGAGAAAGUUUGUCGUGGUUUCACCAGAUUCACCACAGCAAACAUCAAAU